CACGAUGGCGCGUGCCUCCCGCCGGCCCCCUACCGAGAUAGCACCCUUGUCUACUGCACCACGUUGUUGCUUCCUGGCGGCGGACUGCCCCGCCAACGGGGACCAUACAAACCUAACCCGUAGUAUAGAAGCAUUGAAGCUCUGACAAAACCGAAAAUCGUA
rnacentral:misc_RNA from 1 species